GGGAGUUGUAGUUCCCAGAUAGACCUGGGAACUGUAGGCUAGUAGCAGAGCAUGCUGGGAAGAAAGGCUUGCUUUGCUGAGUUUGGAGAGAGAUGUGAAAGGAGCAAGAGUGGCUGUUGGGUUGCAACAGAGAUGCUUAGGCAGGGCUUUGGAAGAACCUGAGAAAAGACUGGAGAUGAGGCCUACAGGAAACUUCAAAAUUGCAGCUUAUUCCGAUUCAGAACAAAGAAUUCAGAAUGUCCCGUGGAAUGGAAAUUCUGGUUCCUGACCCACCCGCUCUACUCCUUUGAGGAAAGGCCAUAAGAGGAUGCUACCUCAUCAUUCUACCUGGAAGCAGCAGGACAAAAGGAGUUUGGAGAUGAAGAUUUCCUCGCUCAGUGUCUUCAGUGAAGUGAAUUGAAUGGCUUCUGCCCUCGUUCCUUAGGAGAUGGCAGAGCGAUUUCAAUUGCUGAAAGAGCCCCACUAAACAAAAAACAAUUGCACAGCAGUGUUGGUGCCACAAAUCACUUCUCUUUUCAUCCUUGGGCACCAUGUGACCUUCCCCACACACCGUCUCACAAUAGCCUGAAACUCAUUUUCAUUGUAAAUAACGCCAGUCAGGAAAGAGACUGCUCCUGCCAGUGCUCAGCUGGCACGUCUGGAUGAAUACGAACAUGUUUUGCAUGCCUUUUCAUAUGAAGAUCUCAAAUUGCUAUACAGUUUGAAUGCUAAUUAAGUCAGCUUCUUCCUAUCCCUGUACGGAAGCAGAAAAAGAUACAGGGACAGCUGGCCCACCAGGGAAAUAUAGCCACUGCAGAAUAGUGCACCACAAAGUGAAUAGCAUGUCCAAGCGAGUGGGAGCUGGGAAGAAUAUAACUAGGGUUUUUACCGGGACACUGUUACUCUUAUGGAAAAUUCCGCAGGGAUUCUUCCUGGCCACAAGCGUUCAGCAUUUUGGCUUUGCAUUUGCACCUUUAGCUAUCC